rnacentral:snRNA from 1 species
AUACUUACCUGGCAAGGGAGACACCGUGAUCACCAAGGCGGUUCACCCAGGGCGAGGCUCGGCCAUUGCACUCCGGCUGUGCUGACCCCUGCGAAUUUCCCAAAUGUGGAAAUCUCGAUUGCAUAAUUCUGGUAGUGGGGGACUGCGUUCGCGCUCUCCCCUG